rnacentral:misc_RNA from 1 species
AUGACUUGUCAAUAAACUAACCUUUGCUUAUUUGCUGAUAUUUAUAACGCUCAGAAGAUUACUAUUUCCAAACAAAAGUAAUUUGCUUACCAACUCGGAUUUUGGGCAGGUUCUAUCGCUAGACACGAUAACAUUCAUGUUCUAAAACUGUUCCAAAUGUCAUUGUGCAAUAUGGUACUAAACGCACAGCGUCAACGCUUCAGUUCCAGAUACUGUGUUUGAUGAUGGCGUUUCUGCAUGAAGAUGAAAAGGACAAAGUUGGAUGUUUCUUUAACAAUAAAACAGUAAACAAGUACACUGUUAUUAAAACUCACAAUAUUGUAAGGCUACCUAUAUCCAUACCAUCAAAUUCAUGGAUUUUUGUGACUUCAAGCGAUGCAUUGCCGCUUCGAGAAAAGCUUGUAUUUAACUGGAGUAGACGGAAAAUUAAAGAAAGAAAUAUUACGAUUCCGUAUGUUGCUGAUGUGGAUUUGGUCUCAAAACGUGGUCAUUAUAUUGCUUACGAAUACCAGACUCUCUUUGGAAUGUCAGAUGAAAAUAUGCAGUACAUUAUUGAAUACCUUCGCUAUUGGGAUAUACUUCGGAUAUGUUGUGGAAGACAGAUGUCCAACGACUGGCGAAGUCGCUUACUUUCAAAUGCAAAUCACAGUCAGCAUCAUAACCGUCAUAUUCUAACAUACCCUGCAUGUGAAAUGUAUAACAUAAGUCAAGUUGAGCUUCUUCUUCUGAACACAUAUGCUGUCCAAAAGUUUGGUCAUAUCGCUUCAUUACGUGACGUCAUUGGAAAGCCGUCAAUCAUUGACGGAAAACUGGACGGAGGCUAUUGUGAACGUUGUAACAAAAACAUUAUCAGAAGACGUUUAAAAUUUAAUUACAAAUGCCAUUAGAAGAUAUUUAUGCAUUUUGGAGCAUUUUACGCAGAAUCAAACGAAAUUCGGUCAUGUUUAUC